CAGUAGCCGCGGGAAUACGGAGGGUGCAAGCGUUAAUCGGAAUUACUGGGCGUAAAGCGCACGCAGGCGGUCUGACAAGUCAGAUGUGAAAUCCCCGGGCUUAACCUGGGAACUGCAUUUGAAACUGUCAGGCUGUAGUCUUGUAGAGGGGGGUAGAAUUCCAGGUGUAGCGGUGAAAUGCGUAGAGAUCUGGAGGAAUACCGGUGGCGAAGGCGGCCCCCUGGACAAAGACUGACGCUCAGGUGCGAAAGCGUGGGGAGCAAACAGGAUUAGAUACCCCGGUAGUCCCUGUCUCUUAUAC
rnacentral:rRNA from 1 species